GUGGGGCUAUGGCUUCUUCCUUGA
rnacentral:tRNA from 1 species